rnacentral:rRNA from 1 species
AUUGAACGCUGGCGGCAGGCCUAACACAUGCAAGUCGAGCGGAUGAAGGGAGCUUGCUCCUGGAUUCAGCGGCGGACGGGUGAGUAAUGCCUUGGAAUCUGCCUGGUAGUGGGGGAUAACGUCCGGAAACGGGCGCUAAUACCGCAUACGUCCUGAGGGAGAAAGUGGGGGAUCUUCGGACCUCACGCUAUCAGAUGAGCCUAGGUCGGAUUAGCUAGUUGGUGGGGUAAAGGCCUACCAAGGCGACGAUCCGUAACUGGUCUGAGAGGAUGACCAGUCACACUGGAACUGAGACACGGUCCAGACUCCUACGGGAGGCAGCAGUGGGGAAUAUUGGACAAUGGGCGAAAGCCUGAUCCAGCCAUGCCGCGUGUGUGAAGAAGGUCUUCGGAUUGUAAAGCACUUUAAGUUGGGAGGAAGGGCAGUAAGUUAAUACCUUGCUGUUUUGACGUUACCAACAGAAUAAGCACCGGCUAACUUCGUG